rnacentral:rRNA from 1 species
GAUGAACGCUAGCUACAGGCUUAACACAUGCAAGUCGAGGGGAAACGGCAUUGAGUGCUUGCACUCUUUGGACGUCGACCGGCGUACGGGUGAGUAACGCGUAUCCAACCUUCCCAUUACUGUGGGAUAACCUGCCGAAAGGCAGACUAAUACCGCAUAGUCUUCGAUGACGGCAUCAGAUUUGAAGUAAAGAUUUAUCGGUAAUGGAUGGGGAUGCGUCUGAUUAGCUUGUUGGCGGGGUAACGGCCCACCAAGGCGACGAUCAGUAGGGGUUCUGAGAGGAAGGUCCCCCACAUUGGAACUGAGACACGGUCCAAACUCCUACGGGAGGCAGCAGUGAGGAAUAUUGGUCAAUGGACGGAAGUCUGAACCAGCCAAGUAGCGUGCAGGAUGACGGCCCUAUGGGUUGUAAACUGCUUUUGUAUGGGGAUAAAGUUAGGGACGUGUCCCUAUUUGCAGGUACC